rnacentral:rRNA from 1 species
GCAGUAGCCGCGGUAAUACGAAGGGUGCAAGCGUUACUCGGAAUUACUGGGCGUAAAGCGUGCGUAGGUGGUGGUUUAAGUCCGUUGUGAAAGCCCUGGGCUCAACCUGGGAAUUGCAGUGGAUACUGGGUCACUAGAGUGUGGUAGAGGAUAGUGGAAUUUCCGGUGUAGCAGUGAAAUGCGUAGAGAUCGGAAGGAACAUCUGUGGCGAAGGCGACUAUCUGGGCCAACACUGACACUGAGACACGAAAGCGUGGGGAGCAAACAGGAUUAGAUACCCGCGUAGUCCCUGUCUCUUAUAC